AACGGCACGUGUCCACUGUGGUAAUGACAUCAAACUGGCAUGUGGUCGUUGAGAGGGCUCAAGAGCAUCCUCAGGAAGCAGGUGUUGUGAUAGGCCCCAUUUUGUCAAUGAAGGCACUGAAGCUCAGGACAUAAACUGAUUUGUCAUAGGGCACACCUGGAAAUGGUGACAGUGGCCAAGCCAAGACUGGAGCCCAGGCAUGCCUCUCACCGAUGCCUUAUCUCUAAGAUUCUCCAACAGCUGUCAGCCGACAACAUGCUCAACAUGUAAUAUAGCUAAUCCUUCAAAGCCAACAAGAAUGUGAAGGCCGGUGCAACCUUGAAAACUACUUUGACCAACCUUAACCGCACAAUGACUCUUACUCUGUCCAUAAUAGUGUUUAAGGACAGAUUUUCCCUAUCUUAAACAACAGCAGAGACUGACCAAGUGCUCAUAAUUACCCGUAACAUGCCCACUAAUUUAGCUUGACAAAUUUUAGUCAGGCUUCUCUCCUCCUCAUAGGUUCCUGAACUUUGGCUCAUCCCCAGGCUUAAGCAAGCACUAAGAUACACACACUCCACCCCACCCCCCCUUAACAGCUCAUUCUGAGAACAGGCUAACUACAGAGAGAAACAUUACCUGUUCCCAUCAUGCUCUCUGCUCAGUCCCACCACUUGCCCCCUCAUACAAAUUUCCUGCUAUCCCUGAUUACCCUUCCCUAUAAAAGAAUACCUUUUUCUGUUCGAUUUUGAGACAUUUGCAGAACUUGUAGUCAGAGCGUUCUCCCUAUUGUAAUUGUCUUU
ensembl:lncRNA